GACGAACGCUGGCGGCGUGCUUAACACAUGCAAGUCGAACGGAAAGGCCCUGCUUUUGUGGGUUGCUCGAGUGGCGAACGGGUGAGUAACACGUGAGUAACCUGCCCUUGACUUUGGGAUAACUUCAGGAAACUGGGGCUAAUACCGGAUAUGAGCUCCUGCUGCAUGGUGUGGGUUGGAAAGUUUCGGCGGUUGGGGCUGGACUCGCGGCUUAUCAGCUUGUUGGUGGGGUAGUGGCUUACCAAGGCUUUAACGGGUAGCCGGCCUGAGAGGGUGACCGGCCACAUUGGGACUGAGAUACGGCCCAGACGCCUACGGGAGGCAGCAGUGGGGAAUAUUGCACAAUGGGCGGAAGCCUGAUGCAGCAACGCCGCGUGCGGGAUGACGGCCUUCGGGUUGUAAACCGCUUUCGCCUGUGACGAAGCGUGAGUGACGGUAAUGGGUAAAGAAGCACCGGCUAACUACGUG
rnacentral:rRNA from 1 species